rnacentral:tRNA from 2 species
GCGUCCUUAGUUCAGCUGGAUAGAAUGCGUGGCUUCGAACCAUGAGGUCGGGGGUUCGAGUCCCUCAGGGCGCA